UGGUGGCAGAGCCGAGCUGAAGCCUGAAGAGCUCCAUGUGGACAUUUGCAGACACCUUGCCAAAGAGAAUGCAGAGCUGCUGGAGAACUUGUACAGCACCACCACCAUGUACUUCAGUAGCAGCUGGGAAGGGAUCCGGGCAGUUGCCGCCAAGUUAGCUGGCAUCAUCCUGGAACACACAGACACUCAGCGUAUGAAAUGGCUGGACCUGGAACAUCUGCUGAUGUCUCUCCAGGUCCUAGAGAAAGACCCAAGUCCCACUGUCCAGCUGGUGGCAACGGAGAUCAUAAGUGACAUCUGUCCUGGCCGAGCGCUUGGCGAAUGAAGCAGAACGGAGACAAACAGACCAAGGCGCUCCUGUAGUAUAAGGGCCCUACCAUCAAUCAAAUGUUAACCCCACUCCUUGACACCGGCAGCAAGAUGUGUCAUGUGACCCCUCUAAGAACUCCUCCCACUGUCCUCUACCAAUCAGGAUGGGUUUUGCCCCAAUAGGAAUGCCCCGA